rnacentral:rRNA from 1 species
UACGAGGGGGGCAACUGUUGUUCGGAAUCACUGGGCGUAAAGGGAGCGUAGGCGGGUUCUUAAGUAAGGUGUUUAAUCCCGGGGCCCAACCCCGGACCGGCACUUUAAACUGGGAAUCUUGAAUAGUGGAGAGGUCAGUGGAAUUGGGGGUGUAGCGGUGGAAUGCGUAGAGAUCCCCAAGAACACCAGUUGCGAAGGCGGCUGACUGGACACAUAUUGACGCUGAGGCUCGAAAGCAUGGGGAGCAAACAGG